GCACUGCAGCAUGAGUGUUUUUCAUAAUUUAUUUAGUGGUGAAAUUUUCAGGCCUAUGAACUGGAUGAUAUUUUCAUUGCUGGCAAUCUUCAUCAACCUAUCUACGAGGACAUUGAUAUACUAAUUGCUGCACAAGUGUUCUCAGCACCGGCUAGCAAGAAGAGAGUAUGAUUGUUCAAUGCUCACUGUUGUAAGCUUGUUUCACGAGGAGCUUCUCAGUGUUGUACAUGUAGGGUGUGGAUAAUAUAAAUAAAAUCUAUUUGUUCA